GCCAGGCGUGGUGGUUCACGCCUGUAAUUCUAGACUCUGGGAGGCCGAGGUGGGUGGAUCACUUGAGGCCAGGAGUUCAAGACCAGCCUGGCCAACAUGGUGAAACCCCAUCUUUA
ensembl:misc_RNA Metazoa_SRP Metazoan signal recognition particle RNA